UUGCUUUGGUACUUCAUCUCUUUAGAGUCAUUUGCUUUAUAGUAAAUGAUAGGCCAAAGUGGCUAGAGCCUCACCUUAUCAGGCAAACUGACAAUCAUACUCACCAUACUUACCUAUCAAAAGCCAAAAAGCACCCUUGGGCUGAAAAUAAGGUGGUGGUUGCCGUUGGUUUUUUUACCUCUAUUCCUUCACAGAGACCAUAGUAGCCCUUUGUCCAGACAACUAACUUACUCAGUGUUAGUCAUUCCCCCAAACCUCUCUAGUUUAACAUGAGAAUGAAUUUGAGCCAGGACAACUGAUAAGCCAAGGAGGUACGGUCAAUGUUCUCCAUCCACCGAGCCUGCAUUUUUUCACUACGAAUGUCAGUCUAUAGUAGCAAAAUCAGCUUGCUCUGUUUUGGCCAGUGAAAAAACUUCAGCUUCCCUACAUGUAAGAUGUCCAUGGGAUCAAGGAGCAUACCAGGACCUUAACUAAGGAUUUCAGCUAAGAAAACAGCGAGGAGCAAUGAAUGGUACACCAGAGAGUAUCAGAAACUCAAGCAAACCAGACUAUGGGAGCACCUAGGCUAGCAUCAUACAACAGUGCCAAAAGGAGUGGUAUCCAAGAGAAAAGGACCCCAGCGCCAAAGACAUCAGGAGCCCUGCGUCAUUGAGCUGCCUUUCCCCAAGCUUUUUCUUGGACAUACUUCUGAUGUGGGAGAAACACACCCAGGUUUAUAGCAGGAUCUCGACCCAAGAAUGGGAGACUCAGAUUCCACUCCAUGCGGAGGCAUCAAAGUCCUGUGGCAGGACGAAAGUCGGGAAGACGGGCGAUGGCCCAGGAGGCAGUGGAUGACCUUGGCCUCCGCACUACCUGACCAAGCUUCAAGUGCUCCAUGGUGCCUGCUUCAGCCACCUUCAUGGCUCUGCGGACAAAUCGUCCUCUUCCGCCCAUUCCCGUCUCUAAGACAAACCACUGACCAUGCACACAACCCCAGCACACAAGUUCAGGGAACUGAAUGUGGAAAUGAGCCAGGGAAGCCUGCGCUCACUUUAACAGGCGUUCUAGGUCUGCGGCCAGAGGCUGGGCAGUUAGCCUUUCUGUUAAGGAAGCCCUCUGUGACCGCACUCUGCAAACAGACUGCUGGUCGCCAUUGAUAUCACACAGCGACAGCCAUCAAGUGUGAGAUCUGGACAGAAAAUGAAGGCCUGGGGUGGAAUUCUCCUGAAGUCGCCUCCAUCCGCAGCGACCUUCCCAGUGAAAGCCAAUGAUUGCAGGCCAUGAGAGUACCAGGUGCUUCCUUACUAAGAGACCUCUGUAAGUGAGCAGAGCCCGGGAAGCAGAGUGGUGGAAGUAGAAGGAAUGGGGGCCUUGGAAUCAAGGUCCUUGGGGUCCCGGCCCACCACUUACUGGCUAGGCAGUUUGGGGCGAGUAAACUUCUAUAAAAUAUGGAUGUGAUAUUUCUACUACCUAUGUUGUAGACUUGUUUAAUUCAUUUCCCCUCAAUAAGCAUUUAUUAAAUGCCUACUGUAUGGCAGGCACUGUUUUAAGUGCUGGCGAUAGGAAGAUGGAACUAAAAGAGUCUCCGACUAUGAAGAACUUAUAUUCUUUGGAGGAAGCAAGUAUGUAGAAAAUUAUAUGGGAAAUAUAUACAAAGGGUUAUAUAUAAGCUUUGGUUCUUUGUAGGUGUUUGACUAACUGCUACCCUCAGUUUACUAGGCGUAAUUCUUGGGGACUGGAGGGUUUUCUAGUAUUAUUUCUCAUAAGCCCCCAUUAAAGGGGCUUUCUCCAAUAUCAAUCAACCAGUCAAUAUCUUCCCAAUAUCAUUCUACCAAUUACCAUCCAUUAUUGAGAAAACAUAGCGUGGACCCAAGUGUAGCAGCACCCCAAACUGAGAAUAUACUCUCCGCUCUAUACAGCACCAAAGGAGGGUAGACUCACAUGUAGUGAGUGGUUGCUAAACACUCUUCCCAGUCUCCCCUGCCACUCCCACCACCAAGUUCCUGGGGAUGACGUAGGCUACAGCUGAGUUGUUCCCUUACUUGCAAGAUAUGGUGUCAACUCCCGGCACACAAUUGGAUGGGGGUCGGUGAGUUUACCCCCUCAGGCUCUUUCCUCGUUAGGCCUGGCUACUAACUCUGGUUGCUAAAAGGACCCUUAGUGACUCUUCUGAUCUUUUAAGUCAGGCAAUCAUAUCCUGGAUCCUUUGGGCUUUAAUAUUCAUUUACCUAAGAUUAAGAAAGAAUGAAAUUCAUUAGAGACAGAAGGAACAAACGUACCAUGGAUUAACAGCCACAUGGUGUCCGGUGGGGAGAUAAGGCAGUCACUACUUCUCUUCCCAACUGGAGGCCCAUAGCUGUCCCUUACUUGCUCAACAACAAGGAAAAGAGGAAGACAGAGAGACAGAGAGAGAGAGAGAGAGAGACAGAGAAAGUUCAUCUAUUGUGAUCCAAUACUCAUUCAGUUCUGGCUCAACAGUUAGCAGAAAAUCAUCCAUUUGGGUCAGAAUGUAGGGGAUAUAAAGGAGAAUCUUAUGAAAUAAGCCUGGAAAAAAAAAACAGAUUAGACCCAGACUGUGAAGGGCUUCAAAAGCUAUUCAGGAGUUUGUAUUUCAUCCUUGAGGAAAGAAGUCUCUAGAGUUUCUUGCACACGUUUCUGGGCGACACGGUCAGACCUCUUAACUGUUUUGAUUUGGCAAAUGGUCAUAAGGAGCAAUACUUUAUGAACAUAAAAAGUUACAGAAAUGUAAAUUCUUCCUAUUUGGGAUAGGGAAGGCAUAAGUAGGGUAGAAGAAUUACAGAGAAGAAUGAAAAGGUCAUUUCCUGCUAGUAGCUUUUGGGGGAAGCCAGGAUGACAAAUAGUCUGAUAUAUUUUUAAAAUAAUGGGAGGAGGGAUUUUAGCUUGUUUUUUAAGCCCAUGUAGACUUUACUAAUUAGAAAUUCUCAAAUCUUCUUUAAUAAAAUUUUAAAAGACAAAAGGAAAAAAAUUGAA
ensembl:lncRNA